GCCAGGGUGGUGAAAUGGUAGACACGCAGGAUUUAGGAUCCUGUGACUUUAAGUCAUGGAGGUUCGAGUCCUCUCCCUGGCACCA
rnacentral:tRNA from 1 species